AGGGUUGUGGCUCAGCAGCAGUGCAUCUGUUGAGCACGCAGAAGGUCCCAGGUUCGACCCCAGGCAUCUCCA
rnacentral:tRNA from 1 species